rnacentral:rRNA from 1 species
UACGUAGGGUGCGAGCGUUAAUCGGAAUUACUGGGCGGAAAGCGUGCGCAGGCGGUUUUGGAAGUCAGAUGGGAAAUCCCCGGGCUUAACCUGGGAACUGCGUUUGAAACUACAAGGCUAGAGUGUGGCAGAGGGGGGUGGAACUCCACGUGUAGCAGUGAAAUGCGUAGAGAUGUGGAGGAACACCGAUGGCGAAGGCAGCCCCCUGGGUUAACACUGACGCUCAGGCACGAAAGCGUGGGGAGCAAACAGG